GAUUUGGCCUUGAUUUAUGUACCAUGAUGAAGCAAAUGAUUAGCACCUAAUCUGACUACUCAGGCGUCAGCUGAUCGUGUCGUGUCGUGUGUAAGCGCCUUUACACUAGCAGUGUGAAUGACCUUAUUUAUUUAAUAAU